rnacentral:rRNA from 1 species
GACGAACGCUGGCGGCGUGCUUAACACAUGCAAGUCGAACGGAAAGGCCCUGCUUUUGUGGGGUGCUCGAGUGGCGAACGGGUGAGUAACACGUGAGUAACCUGCCCUUGACUUUGGGAUAACUUCAGGAAACUGGGGCUAAUACCGGAUAGGAGCUCCUGCUGCAUGGUGGGGGUUGGAAAGUUUCGGCGGUUGGGGAUGGACUCGCGGCUUAUCAGCUUGUUGGUGGGGUAGUGGCUUACCAAGGCUUUGACGGGUAGCCGGCCUGAGAGGGCGACCGGCCUCAUUGUUACUGAGAUGCGGACCAGAGUCCUACGGGAGGCAUCGGUGGAGAAUAUUGCACAAUAGGCGGAAGCCUGAAGCAACAACGCCGCGUGCGGGAUGACGGCCUUCGGGUUAUAAACCGCUUUCGCGUGUAACGAGGCUUGCGUGACGGUAGUGGGUAAAGAAGCACCGGCUAACUACGUA